rnacentral:rRNA from 1 species
AGUGAACGCUGGCGGUAGGCCUAACACAUGCAAGUCGAACGGCAGCACAGUAAGAGCUUGCUCUUACGGGUGGCGAGUGGCGGACGGGUGAGGAAUACAUCGGAAUCUACUUUUUCGUGGGGGAUAACGUAGGGAAACUUACGCUAAUACCGCAUACGACCUACGGGUGAAAGCAGGGGAUCUUCGGACCUUGCGCGAUUGACUGAGCCGAUGUCGGAUUAGCUAGUUGGCGGGGUAAAGGCCCACCAAGGCGACGAUCCGUAGCUGGUCUGAGAGGAUGAUCAGCCACACUGGAACUGAGACACGGUCCAGGCUCCUACGGGAGGCAGCAGUGGGGAAUAUUGGACAAUGGGCGCAAGCCUGAUCCAGCCAUACCGCGUGGGUGGAGAAGGCCUUCGGGUUGUAAAGCCCUUUUGUUGGGAAAGAAAAGCAGCAGGUUAAUACGCCGCUGUUCUGACGGUACCCAAAGAAUAAGCACCGGCUAACUUCGUG